UGCUAUACAUGCAGUCGAGCGGACAGAUGGGAGCUUGCUCCCUGAUGUUAGCGGCGGACGGGUGAGUAACACGUGGGUAACCUGCCUGUAAGACUGGGAUAACUCCGGGAAACCGGGGCUAAUACCGGAUGCUUGUUUGAACCGCAUGGUUCAAACAUAAAAGGUGGCUUCGGCUACCACUUACAGAUGGACCCGCGGCGCAUUAGCUAGUUGGUGAGGUAACGGCUCACCAAGGCGACGAUGCGUAGCCGACCUGAGAGGGUGAUCGGCCACACUGGGACUGAGACACGGCCCAGACUCCUACGGGAGGCAGCAGUAGGGAAUCUUCCGCAAUGGACGAAAGUCUGACGGAGCAACGCCGCGUGAGUGAUGAAGGUUUUCGGAUCGUAAAGCUCUGUUGUUAGGGAAGAACAAGUGCCGUUCAAAUAGGGCGGCACCUUGACGGUACCUAACCAGAAAGCCACGGCUAACUACGUGCCAGCAGCCGCGGUAAUACGUAGGUGGCAAGCGUUGUCCGGAAUUAUUGGGCGUAAAGGGCUCGCAGGCGGUUUCUUAAGUCUGAUGUGAAAGCCCCCGGCUCAACCGGGGAGGGUCAUUGGAAACUGGGGAACUUGAGUGCAGAAGAGGAGAGUGGAAUUCCACGUGUAGCGGUGAAAUGCGUAGAGAUGUGGAGGAACACCAGUGGCGAAGGCGACUCUCUGGUCUGUAACUGACGCUGAGGAGCGAAAGCGUGGGGAGCGAACAGGAUUAGAUACCCUGGUAGUCCACGCCG
rnacentral:rRNA from 1 species